GACGAACCGUGGCGAACGUUGUUCGGAAUCACUGGGCGUUAAAGGGCGCGUAGGCGGGUUCGCGAAGUCUGUGGUGAAAGCCUCCAGCUUAACUGGAGUAAGUGCCAUGGAUACUGCGCAUCUUGAGGAGGGUAGGGCGUCUGGAACGGUCGGUGGAGCGGUAGAAAUGCGUUGAUAUCGGACCGGAACUCCGGUGGCGAAGGCGAGGCGCUGGACCUUCGACGCUGAGGCGCGAAAGCCAGGGAGGCAAACGGG
rnacentral:rRNA from 1 species